CUGUAAUUGGAAUGAGUACACUUUAAAUCCUUUAACAAGGACCUAUUGGAGGGCAAGUCUGGUGCCAGCAGCCGCGGUAACUCCAGCUCCAAUAGCGUAUAUUAAAGUUGUUGCGGUUAAAACGUUCGUAGUUGAACUUGUGCUUCAUACGGGUAGUACAGCUAUAAUUGUAGUUUGUACUGUACCUUAUGUAUGCAAGCGUAUUACCGGUGGAGUUCUUACAUGUUUAUACUUUAUUUUCCUCCUAUUUAAACCUGCUUCAGUGCUCUUCAUCGAGUGUUGUUGUGGGCCGGUACAAUUACUUUGAACAAAUUAGAGUGCUUAAAGCAGGCUCCAAAUGCCUGAAUAUUUUGUGCAUGGAAUAAUGAAAUAAGACCUCUGUUCUACUUUCAUUGGUUUUUAGAUCAAGAGGUAAUGAUUAAUAGAAGCAGUUUGGGGGCAUUAGUAUUACGACGCGAGAGGUGAAAUUCUUGGACCGUCGUAAGACUAACUUAAGCGAAAGCAUUUGCCAAAGAUGUUUUCAUUAAUCAAGAACGAAAGUUAGAGGUUCGAAGGCGAUCAGAUACCGCCCUAGUUCUAACCAUAAACGAUGCCAGCUAGCAAUUGGGUGUAGCUACUAUCAUGGCUCUCUCAGUCGCUUCCCGGGAAACCAAAGCUUUUGGGCUCCGGGGGAAGUAUGGUUGCAAAGCUGAAACUUAAAGGAAUUGACGGAAGGGCACCACCAGGAGUGGA
rnacentral:rRNA from 1 species